rnacentral:rRNA from 1 species
GACAGAGGAGGCGAGCGUUAUCCGGAGUUAUUGGGCGUAAAGCGUCUGUAGGUGGCUUUUUAAGUCUGCCGUCAAAUCCCAGGGCUCAACCCUGGCCAGGCGGUGGAGACUACUAAGCUGGAGUACGGUAGGGGCAGAGGGAAUUUCCGGUGGAGCGGUGAAAUGCGUAGAUAUCGGAAAGAACACCAAGGGCGAAGGCACUCUGCUGGGCCGAAACUGACACUGAGAGACGAGAGCUAGGGGAGCAAAUGGG